rnacentral:rRNA from 1 species
GAUGAACGCUAGCGAUAGGCCUAACACAUGCAAGUCGAGGGGCAUCACAUGAAGUAGCAAUACGGAUGGUGGCGACCGGCGCACGGGUGAGUAACACGUAUGCAACCUGCCUUCAACAAGGGGAUAACCCGUUGAAAGACGGACUAAUACCCUAUAACACAGGGGUCCCGCAUGGGAAUAUUUGUUAAAGGACAACCGGUUGAAGAUGGGCAUGCGUUCCAUUAGCUAGUUGGCGGGGUAACGGCCCACCAAGGCAACGAUGGAUAGGGGAACUGAGAGGUUUAUCCCCCACACUGGUACUGAGACACGGACCAGACUCCUACGGGAGGCAGCAGUGAGGAAUAUUGGUCAAUGGACGCAAGUCUGAACCAGCCACGUCGCGUGAAGGAAGACGGCCCUACGGGUUGUAAACUUCUUUUGCAAGGGAAUAAAGUGGGCCACGUGUGGCCUUUUGCAAGUACCUUGCGAAUAAGGAUCGGCUAACUCCGUGCCAGCAGCCGCGGUAAUUACGC